rnacentral:rRNA from 1 species
GACGAACGCUGGCGGCGUGCCUAAUACAUGCAAGUCGAACGCAGUGGGGAUGGGUGAGUAACACGUGGGUAACCUCCCAUCAGAGGGGAUAACACUUGGAAACUGGUGCUAAACCGAUACUGAUGGAUGGACCCGCGGUGCAUUAGCUAGUUGGUGAGGUAACGGCUCACCAAGGCCACGAUGCAUAGCGGACCUGAGAGGGGGAUCGGCCACACUGGGACGGAGACACGGCCCAGACUCCUACGGGAGGCAGCAGUAGGGAAUCUUGGGCAAUGGGCGAAAGUCUGACCGAGCAACGCCGCGUGAGUGAAGAAGGUUUUCGGAUCGUAAAGCUCUGUUGUUAGAGAAGCGGUAUCUAACCAGAAAGCCACGGCUAACUACGUGCCAGCAGCCGCGGUAAUUC